rnacentral:rRNA from 1 species
AGCAGCCGCGGUAAUUCCAGCUCCAAUAGCGUAUAUUAAAGUUGUUGCAGUUAAAAAGCUCGUAGUUGAAUUUCGGGAUCAAUAUGUCGGUCGUGCCUCGGUACGUACUGGCGUAAUUGGUUUCUCCCUUCUGAAGAACCUCGAUGUCAUUCAUUUGGUGUCGUGGGGAAUCAGGACUGUUACUUUGAAAAAAUUAGAGUGUUUAAAGCAGGCUCGCGCUUGAAUACAUUAGCAUGGAAUAAUGAAAUAGGACGUUUGAUUCUAUUUUGUUGGUUUCUAGGAUCGACGUAAUGAUUAAUAGGGAUAGUUGGGGGCAUUAGUAUUCAAUUGUCAGAGGUGAAAUUCUUGGAUUUAUUGAAGACUAACUACUGCGAAAGCAUUUGCCAAGGAUGUUUUCAUUAAUCAAGAACGAAAGUUAGGGGAUCGAAGACGAUCAGAUACCGUCGUAGUCUUAACCAUAAACUAUAGCCGACUAGGGAUCGGAUGAUGUUAAUUUUUAAUGACUCAUUCGGCGCCUUAC